rnacentral:rRNA from 1 species
AUUGAACGCUGGCGGCAGGCCUAACACAUGCAAGUCGAACGGUAACAGGAAGCAGCUUGCUGCUUUGCUGACGAGUGGCGGACGGGUGAGUAAUGUCUGGGAAACUGCCCGAUGGAGGGGGAUAACUACUGGAAACGGUAGCUACUACCGCAUAACGUCGCAAGAACAAAGAGGGGGACCUUAGGGCCUCUUGCCAUCGGAUGUGCCCAGAUGGGCUUGGCUAGUAGGUGGGGUAACGGCUCACCUAGGCGACGAUCCCUAGCUGGUCUGAGGGGAUGACCGGCCACACUGGAACUGAGACACGGUCCAGGCUCCUGCGGGAGGCAGCAGUGGGGAAUAUUGCACAAUGGGCGCGAGCCUGAUGCAGCCAUGCCGCGUGUAUGAAGAAGGCCUUCGGGUUGUAAAGUACUUUCAGCGGGGAGGAAGGGAGUAAAGUUAAUACCUUUGCUCAGUGACGUUACCCGCAGAAGAAGCACCGGCUAACUCCGUG